rnacentral:rRNA from 1 species
GAUGAACGCUGGCGGCGUGCCUAAUACAUGCAAGUCGAGCGAAUGGAUUAAGAGCUUGCUCUUAUGAAGUUAGCGGCGGACGGGUGAGUAACACGUGGGUAACCUGCCCACAAGACUGGGAUAACUCCGGGAAACCGGGGCUAAUACCGGAUAACAUCUUGAACCGCAUGGUUCGAAAUUGAAAGGCGGCUUCGGCUGUCACUUAUGGAUGGACCCGCGUCGCAUUAGCUAGUUGGUGAGGUAACGGCUCACCAAGGCAACGAUGCGUAGCCGACCUGAGAGGGGGAUCGGCCAAACUGGGACUGAGACACGGCCCAGACUCCUACGGGAGGCAGCAGUAGGGAAUCUUCCGCAAUGGACGAAAGUCUGACGGAGCAACGCCGCGUGAGUGAUGAAGGCUUUCGGGUCGUAAAACUCUGUUGUUAGGGAAGAACAAGUGCUAGUUGAAUAAGCUGGCACCUUGACGGUACCUAACCAGAAAGCCACGGCUAACUACGUGCCAGCCGCCGCAGUAA